rnacentral:rRNA from 1 species
UACGUAGGUGGCAAGCGUUGUCCGGAUUUACUGGGCGUAAAGAGCGCGCAGGCGGCUCUUCAAGUCGAGUGUGAAAGCUCCAGGCUUAACCUGGGAAUUGCGCUCGAUACUGUUGAGCUAGAGUGUGGAAGGGGCUACUGGAAUUCCGUGUGUAGCGGUGAAAUGCGUAGAUAUCGGGAGGAACAUCAGUGGCGAAGGCGGCUACCUGGCCCAAUACUGACACUCAGGUGCGACAGCGUGGGGAGCAAACAGG